AACGUGAACGAGAGAGCGCGUCCCCGUCGCCCCGAAUUUGGGGGGUGCGGGCGGCGUCGUCAUCUUGGAAUAUGUCAAAACGACUCUCGGCAACGGAUAUCUCGGCUCUCGCAUCGAUGAAGAACGUAGCGAAAUGCGAUACUUGGUGUGAAUUGCAGAAUCCCGUGAACCAUCGAGUCUUUGAACGCAAGUUGCGCCCGAAGCCGUUCGGCCGAGGGCACGCCUGCCUGGGCGUCACACGUCGUUGCCCCCCAACCAAUCCCGCGGGAUUGCGGGGGGCGGAUGGUGGCCUCCCGUACGCCCCGUCGCGCGGUUGGCAUAAAUACCAAGUCCCCGGCGACGCACGCCGCGACAAUCGGUGGUUGCGAGACCUCGGUUGCCUGUCGUGCGCGGUCUUUAAGGUCGGAGGGCUCGAAAACAAUGCCGGGCUGCGGCUCGGCUCUCAACGCGACCCCA
rnacentral:rRNA from 1 species